UGGGUAGCGAACCUGGUCCUAUGGAAACGUUUCAUUGACGACAUAAUUCUGAUUUGGCGAGGUUCACAUGAAGAUCUGUUAUCAUUUAUUGAUUAUAUUCAUCAAAAUGACUAUGGUUUAAAAUUUACAUAUGAAAUAAAUAUCACUACUAUUAAUUUCCUUGAUUUAAGCCUCUUUAUAGAAAACAAUCAGAUUCAAUCUAAAUGUUUCUUUAAAAAAACAGAG